AGGAAGCCUUAACCCCAAAAA
rnacentral:miRNA from 1 species